rnacentral:piRNA from 1 species
AGCCUACAUCCUCAAUCCUGGAGUCUAA